UGCCCCCCUGGGUGUCCAUGUCCUUAAUUCCCUCUGGGAGAAUGUGCAAACGACCUCCACAUGCUCCCAAGGGACCCUUGAGAGAUAUUUUGGGAUCCUCAUCCCUUUGGCUGGGACCCCAUUGUGGCUUUCCCUUUUGUCCCCUCCCAGGGUGCCCUGCCAUGUUCACUCCCCGAAGAUGCCACUGUAGUCACUGCUGAGAUUUUCAGUGCUCUCUCCCUGCCGACUCUUGAGAGCCGCCCUGAUCCGUCCCUCGUCUGUCUCCUGCUCACUCUCGGGUACCCAAUCAAUGCCCGGUGCCGCCGCCAGCCGAGGGAGCCGAUCCCCCAAACUGGGUGAGGCCCCUUCAGCUGCACUCACUGCCCGCCGGCCCGGACGGUGGAAGGAAUUGCGGAGGAGCCCCAAGACACAAGAUGCCCAGUGACUUUCUGAGAUGAACUUGGGCAUGGAGGAACCCCCAGCCCAAGACGCUCUCCUCUCCUUUUCCUCCUAACCAGGAAUUUUCAUUCCCAAACUGUGUCCAGAUGGCAGAGGAGGAGAAAAAGCCCCAGAGAUCCUGCAUGAGGAGGGGCUGGAAACCCAGUCCAGGGAGCUGC